UCCCUAAUGGUCCAGUGGCUAGGAUUCCACGCUCUCACCGUGGCAGCCAGGGUUCGGUUCCCUGUUGGGGAG
rnacentral:tRNA from 1 species